rnacentral:rRNA from 1 species
GCACCGGCCAACUACGUGCCAGCAGCCGCGGUAAGACGUAGGGUGCGUAGCGUUGUCCGGAUUUAUUGGGCGUAAAGAGCUCGUAGGCGGCUCGUCGCGUCGACCGUGAAAACCCACAGCUUAACUGUGGGCUUGCGGUUGAUACGGGCGGGCUAGAGUUCGGUAGGGGAGACUGGAAUUCCUGGUGUAGCGGUGAAAUGCGCAGAUAUCAGGAGGAACACCGGUGGCGAAGGCGGGUCUCUGGGCCGAUACUGACGCUGAGGAGCGAAAGCGUGGGGAGCGAACAGGAUUAGAUACCCUGGUAGUCCACGCUGUAAACGUUGGGCGCUAGGUGUGGGGGGCCUCUCCGGUUCUCUGUGCCGCAGCUAACGCAUUAAGCGCCCCGCCUGGGGAGUACGGCCGCA